UACGUAGGGGGCAAGCGUUGUCCGGAUUUAUUGGGCGUAAAGAGCUCGUAGGCGGUUUGUCGCGUCUGCCGUGAAAGUCCGGGGCUCAACUCCGGAUCUGCGGUGGGUACGGGCAGACUAGAGUGAUGUAGGGGAGACUGGAAUUCCUGGUGUAGCGGUGAAAUGCGCAGAUAUCAGGAGGAACACCGGUGGCGAAGGCGGAUCUCUGGGCCUGUUCUGACGCUGAGGCGCGAAAGCUAGGGGAGCGAACAGG
rnacentral:rRNA from 1 species